rnacentral:rRNA from 1 species
GGACCCGCACAAGCGGUGGAGCGUGUUCUUUAAUUCGAUGCUAAACGAAGAACCUUACCAGGGUUUGACAUCCUUGGAACUUUGUCGAAAGACAGAGGUGCCUUUUGGAGCCAAGUGACAGGUGUUGCAUGGCCGUCGUCAGCUCGUGUCGUGAGAUGUUUGGUUAAGUCCAUCAACGAGCGCAACCCUUGUGAUUAGUUGUAUUUUUCUAAUCAGACUGCCCCUGUAAGGGGGAGGAAGGAGGGGAUGAUGUCAGGUCAGUAUUACCCUUACACCCUGGGCUAGAAACGCGCUACAAUGGCUGGUACAACGGGCAGCGAAGCAGUAAUGUGAAGCAAAUCCCAUCAAAACCAGUCCCAGUUCGGAUAGAGGGCUGAAACUCGCCCUCUUGAAGCCGGAAUCGCUAGUAAUCGCAGAUCAGCAAGCUG